UUAUUGUCCUUUUUAUAAAUUUUCUUCUUAAAAAUCUUAUUAUGGUAAGGAUAAUGUAUUUGUUCCCUUCAGGUAUCUGCCACUGCAGCUGACGUUGAGACAACUCUCAGUCUUCCUGCAAGUCCUCGCCUGAUACCUGUUUCAAGUGCAACAAGGCAAGUCACAAUUAAGGGUUGGAUGAUCACCUUUAAGGGCUCUGAGGGCAUCACACCAACAUUUGCAAUUGGACUUGCUGCUAUGUUUGCAACCUACUACAUUUUCAGCCUUCAGUAUCAACAUGAGACAGCCUGCCCUCUGGAAUUCAUUCAGAGGCACUUCAUUGAUAUAAAUCAAGAGAGAGGAACAAAUGCCAAAAUCAUCAGACAAGAUUGUCUCUAAGAAGAAAGGUGUGAUCGUCCAGAAGUCGUCUUCUGCAGUUAAAUACACACGUGGCCAUGCUACUGAAGAAUCUCCUUGACUUUUUAAUGGAACUUCAUAUAGAUCGUGGCAGCACUGGAAUAAUGCUGCAGAGAGGAACAGCGGCUACUAAAGUGAUGAUCGUCUCUUCUGGAUCCACAAGAACUAAGAUGUAAAAACACAAACCUACCUCACAGGACAAUUUUAAGAGGUAACCUGCAAGUCUAGCUUGCAGUGGCACAUGUGCCUAUACGGUUUCAUCCUAAAUGUUUUUUAUGCUUAUUAUUGAUACAUCCUGACAAAAUG